AUUAGAAUUAGUACGCUUUGUC
rnacentral:miRNA from 1 species